rfam:Homo sapiens chromosome 20, GRCh38 reference primary assembly.
GCCAGGCAUGGUGGCACGUGCCUGUGGUCCCAGCUACUCAGGAGGCUGAGAUGGGAGGAUCACUUGAAUCCAGGAGGUCAGGGCUGCAGUGAGCCAAGAUUGCACCACUGCACUCCACCCUGGGUGACAAAGUGAGACCCUGUCUCAA